rnacentral:rRNA from 1 species
GAUGAACGCUGGCGGCGUGCCUAAUACAUGCAAGUCGAGCGAACAGACGCGGAGCUUGCUCCUCUGACGUUAGCGGAGGACGGGUGAGUAACACGUGGAUAACCUCCCUAUAAGACUGGGAUAACUUCGGGAAACCGGAGCUAAUACCGGAUAAUAUCUUGAACCGCAUGGUUCAAUGGUGAAAGACGGUUUUGCUGUCACUUAUCGAUGGAUCCCGGCCGCAUUAGCUAGUUGGUACGGUAACGGCUUACCACGGGAACGAUGCGUAUCCGAGCGGUCGGGCGGGUCGGCCACCCUGGAACGUAGACACGCACCAUACUCCUACGGGACGCAGCAGUAUGGAACCGUCCGCAAUGGUCGAAAGUCUGACGGAGCAACCCCGCGUCAGAUAUGAAGGUGUUCGGAUCGUAAAACCCUGUUAUGAGGGAAGAACAAAUGUGUAAGUAACCAUGCACUUCUUGACGGUACCGAAUAAGAAAGCCACGGCUAACUACGUG